UACGUAGGAUCCAAGCGUUGUCCGGAUUUACUGGGUGUAAAGGGUGCGCAGGCGGACUGGGGAGUCUGGGGUGAAAUCUCGCUGCUUAACAGCGAAACUGCCUUAGAUACUAUCAGUCUUGAAUCAGCGAGAGGUUCGUGGAAUUCCGAGUGUAGCAGUGAAAUGUGUAGAUAUUCGGAAGAACACCAGUGGCGAAGGCAGCGAACUGGCGCUCGAUUGACGCUCAGGCACGAAAGCAUGGGGAUCAAACAGG
rnacentral:rRNA from 1 species